rnacentral:rRNA from 1 species
UACGUAGGGGGCUAGCGUUGUCCGGAUUUAUUGGGCGUAAAGAGCGUGUAGGCGGCCAGAUAGGUCUGCUGUGAAAACUCGAGGCUCAACCUCGAGAUGUCGGCGGAAACCAUUUGGCUAGAGUCCGGAAGAGGAAAAGUGGAAUUCCUGGUGUAGCGGUGAAAUGCGCAGAUAUCAGGAAGAACACCCGUGGCGAAGGCGGCUUUCUGGGACGGUACUGACGCUGAGACGCGAAAGCGUGGGGAGCGAACAGG